AGAGAGAGACAUGCGCGCAUAUCAAUAAGCGGAGGAAAAGAAACUAACAAGGAUUCCCCUAGUAACGGCGAGUGAAGCGGGAAGAGCUCAAAUUUGAAAUCUUAAAGGGUUUCCCUUUACGAAUUGUAGUUUAAAGAAGUGUUUUCUGUUGAGGUUUUGGUAAAAGUUCUUUGGAAUAGGACAUCAUAGGAGGGUGAGAAUCCCGUAUUUGACCUUUACUUUCAACUUUGUGAUACACUUUCAAAGAGUCGGAUUGUUUGGGAAUGCAGUCCAAAAUGGGUGGUAAAUUUCAUCUAAAGCUAAAUAUUGGCGAGAGACCGAUAGCGAACAAGUACCGUGAGGGAAAGAUGAAAAGAACUUUGAAAAGAGAGUUAAACAGUACGUGAAAUUGUCAAAAGGGAAGCGUUUGACACCAGUGUUGUUUUUCUGAAAAUCAAUUAAAGAACUGUUUAUGCUAAGUUGUUUAGACUUUAUCAGCUAUCUGCUUAGUUUUGAGCUUUUCUUUAAUGCACUUUUCAGUUAACAAGUCAACAUCAAUUUCUUUUGCUGUAAAAAAGCUUGAGGAAGGUGGCUUGAGAUUCGUCUUAAGUGUUUAUAGCCUCUUGCCUAUGCAGUCGGAGAGAUUGAGGUCUGCAGCGUAGAUCCUUCGGGGCUAAAUGCAUUUGUGCUAAGUUAUAGCAUUUUAUAGACAACUUGUUGACUAUGAUUUGUCUUGUAGCUUACUCGCUUAUGUUAUUUUACCUACGCUUAGGAUGUUGACGCAUGAGAUAUACGC
rnacentral:rRNA from 1 species